CUAUGGUUCGCCCGUUGCUGCAAAUUCAGCGACCGGGUUUGGCGACCCGAACU
rnacentral:ncRNA from 1 species